rnacentral:rRNA from 1 species
CGCGUAGGUGGUAGUGCAAGUCUGGGGUGGAAUCUUAGGGCUUAACCCUAAAAACUGCCUUGGAAACUGCAUUACUUGAGUCAGUGAGGGGAGGGUAGAAUUCCUGGUGUAGCGGUGAAAUGCGUAGAUAUCAGGAGGAAGGCCUGUGGCGAAGGCGGCCCUCUGGCGCUGAACUGACACUGAGGCGCGAAAGCGUGGGUAGCAAACAGGAUUAGAUACCCUGGUAGUCCACGCCCUAAACGGUGGGUACUAGGUGUAGGGCUCGUAAGGGUUCUGUGCCGAAGGGAAACCAUUAAGUACCCCGCCUGGGGAGUACGGCCGCAAGGUUGAA